rnacentral:lncRNA from 1 species
AUUUUACUAUACAUGCUUCCUCUCCUCCUUCCCCUACAUCUGAUCCAACAUCUAAUUCUCCUGUUCCUGUUUUUACUGAUGCUGAUCCAUCUUCCCUUCCUUCUUUCAAUCAUGAUAUCUCUCCCACUGUUUUACCUUGUUCACAACCUCUUCCUGCUCCUAGAAAAUCCACUAGACAGCAUAAUCAUCCUUCUUAUCUUAAGGAUUAUGUCUGCUAACUCCCUGCCUUUUUUGGAUCCUCUUCUUCUACUUUGGAAUAUGAACCUUUAUAUUACUCUCAAG